UACGUAGGGUGCAAGCGUUGUCCGGAAUUAUUGGGCGUAAAGAGCUCGUAGGCGGUCUGUCGCGUCUGCUGUGAAAACUCGGGGCUUAACCCCGGGCCUGCAGUGGGUACGGGCAGACUAGAGUGCGGUAGGGGAGACUGGAAUUCCUGGUGUAGCGGUGGAAUGCGCAGAUAUCAGGAGGAACACCGGUGGCGAAGGCGGGUCUCUGGGCCGAUACUGACGCUGAGGAGCGAAAGCGUGGGGAGCGAACAGG
rnacentral:rRNA from 1 species